rnacentral:rRNA from 1 species
ACGGGAGGCAGCAGCUAAGAAUAUUCCGCAAUGGACGAAAGUCUGACGGAGCGACGUCGCGUGGACGAUGAAGGCCGGAAGGUUGUAAAGUUCUUUUAUUAUCGAGGAAGAAGUGUAAUAGGGAAUGAUUGCACGGUGACGGUAGGUAAUGAAUAAGCAUCGGCUAAUUACGUGCCAGCAGCCGCGGUAACACGUAAGAUGCUAGCGUUGUUCGGAAUUAUUGGGCGUAAAGGGCAUGUAGGCGGUGAAGUAAGCUUCGUGUGGAAGUGCAGUGCUUAACACUGUGAUGCGCGGGGAACUGCUUUUCUAGAGUUGUUGAAGGGUAGACGGAAUUCCGAGUGUAGGGGUGAAAUCUGUAGAUAUUCGGAAGAACACCAAAGGCGAAGGCAGUCUACCGGCGAAUGACUGACGCUGAGAUGCGAAGGUGCGGGGAUCGAACAGGAUUAGAUACCCUGGUA